rnacentral:lncRNA from 10 species
UGGUGCAGAAAGAAUGGUACUUAAAAAGCAAUAUAGUAAGGGGUUGUAUUAUGGAGAUGAUGAAUUUUCUCUUCCUGUUGAAUAAAAACUGUAUUUCGUAAGUUGCAGUUUAGGAUAAAAUUACAGUGACAUCAUUCAAUGCAUUACAAAAAAAUCUUCUGAACACAGCCUUUGAUGACUUCCCAGAUGGUUCCAGAGAAGAUGGCAGUGAAUGUGGAGACUCUGAGAAGAAUUAUCCCAUAGACAUAAGAAAGUAAGAAAAUAUUUCUAAGUUAAUAGUAUGUACAUAUUAUAUAUGUUCCUACAUUUUUA